GGGUUGUGAGGUUAAGCGACUAAGCGUACACGGUGGAUGCCCUGGCAGUCAGAGGCGAUGAAGGACGUGCUAAUCUGCGAAAAGCGCCGGUAAGGUGAUAUGAACCGUUAUAACCGGCGAUGUCCGAAUGGGGAAACCCAGUGUGAUUCGUCACACUAUCAUUAACUGAAUCCAUAGGUUAAUGAGGCGAACCGGGGGAACUGAAACAUCUAAGUACCCCGAGGAAAAGAAAUCAACCGAGAUUCCCCCAGUAGCGGCGAGCGAACGGGGAGGAGCCCAGAGCCUGAAUCAGCAUGUGUGUUAGUGGAAGCGUCUGGAAAGGCGCGCGAUACAGGGUGACAGCCCCGUACACAAAAGCGCAUGUGCUGUGAGCUCGAUGAGUAGGGCGGGACACGUGGUAUCCUGUCUGAAUAUGGGGGGACCAUCCUCCAAGGCUAAAUACUCCUGACUGACCGAUAGUGAACCAGUACCGUGAGGGAAAGGCGAAAAGAACCCCGGCGAGGGGAGUGAAACAGAACCUGAAACCGUGUACGUACAAGCAGUGGGAGCCCCACCACUAAGCCAGUGGUGAACUCCACAUACGCAUCCUUUGCUGAGGAUGCGGUUAACGAAGCGAAAGCGACGUUCAACCGCAAAAGAAGCAGAGGGGGCUUAGUGGUGGGGUGACUGCGUACCUUUUGUAUAAUGGGUCAGCGACUUAUAUUCUGUAGCAAGGUUAACCGAAUAGGGGAGCCGAAGGGAAACCGAGUCUUAACCGGGCGUUAAGUUGCAGGGUAUAGACCCGAAACCCGGUGAUCUAGCCAUGGGCAGGUUGAAGGUUGGGUAACACUAACUGGAGGACCGAACCGACUAAUGUUGAAAAAUUAGCGGAUGACCUGUGGCUGGGGGUGAAAGGCCAAUCAAACCGGGAGAUAGCUGGUUCUCCCCGAAAGCUAUUUAGGUAGCGCCUCGUGAAUUCAUCUCCGGGGGUAGAGCACUGUUUCGGCCAGGGGGCCAUCCCGGCUUACCAAUCCGAUGCAAACUGCGAAUACCGGAGAAUGUUAUCACGGGAGACACACGGCGGGUGCUAACGUCCGUCGUGAAGAGGGAAACAACCCAGACCGCCAGCUAAGGUCCCAAAGUCAUGGUUAAGUGGGAAACGAUGUGGGAAGGCACAGACAGCCAGGAUGUUGGCUUAGAAGCAGCCAUCAUUUAAAGAAAGCGUAAUAGCUCACUGGUCGAGUCGGCCUGCGCGGAAGAUGUAACGGGGCUAAACCAUGCACCGAAGCUGCGGCAGCGAACGUAUCACCCAAGACAACUUUGCACAGUUGACGACUGACGGAGCGAAGCGACGUCAACGCGUUUUACAACGUCGAGUUGGCUUAGGGAUACGUUCGUUGGGUAGGGGAGCGUUCUGUAAGCCUGCGAAGGUGGCCUGUGAGGGUUGCUGGAGGUAUCAGAAGUGCGAAUGCUGACAUAAGUAACGAUAAAGCGGGUGAAAAGCCCGCUCGCCGGAAGACCAAGGGUUCCUGUCCAACGUUAAUCGGGGCAGGGUGAGUCGACCCCUAAGGCGAGGCCGAAAGGCGUAGUCGAUGGGAAACGGGUUAAUAUUCCCGUACUUGGUGUUACUGCGAAGGGGGGACGGAGAAGGCUAUGUUGGCCGGGCGACGGUUGUCCCGGUUUAAGCGUGUAGGUGUGUGUUCCAGGUAAAUCCGGUUCACUUUAACACUGAGGCGUGACGACGAGGCACCACGGUGCUGAAGCAACAAAUGCCCUGCUUCCAGGAAAAGCCUCUAAGCAUCAGGUAACACGAAAUCGUACCCCAAACCGACACAGGUGGUCAGGUAGAGAAUACCAAGGCGCUUGAGAGAACUCGGGUGAAGGAACUAGGCAAAAUGGUGCCGUAACUUCGGGAGAAGGCACGCUGACACGUAGGUGAAGUGAUUUACUCAUGGAGCUGAAGUCAGUCGAAGAUACCAGCUGGCUGCAACUGUUUAUUAAAAACACAGCACUGUGCAAACACGAAAGUGGACGUAUACGGUGUGACGCCUGCCCGGUGCCGGAAGGUUAAUUGAUGGGGUCAGCGCAAGCGAAGCUCCUGAUCGAAGCCCCGGUAAACGGCGGCCGUAACUAUAACGGUCCUAAGGUAGCGAAAUUCCUUGUCGGGUAAGUUCCGACCUGCACGAAUGGCGUAAUGAUGGCCAGGCUGUCUCCACCCGGGACUCAGUGAAAUUGAACUCGCUGUGAAGAUGCAGUGUACCCGCGGCAAGACGGAAAGACCCCGUGAACCUUUACUAUAGCUUGACACUGAACACUGGUCCUUGAUGUGCAGGAUAGGUGGGAGGCUUUGAAGUGUGGACGCCAGUCUGCAUGGAGCCGUCCUUGAAAUACCACCCUUUAAUGGCUGGUGUUCUAACGUGGGCCCGUGAACCGGGUUGCGGACAGUGUCUGGUGGGUAGUUUGACUGGGGCGGUCUCCUCCUAAAGAGUAACGGAGGAGCACGAAGGUUGGCUAAUCCUGGUCGGACAUCAGGAGGUUAGUGCAAUGGCAUAAGCCAGCUUGACUGCGAGCGUGACGGCGCGAGCAGGUGCGAAAGCAGGUCAUAGUGAUCCGGUGGUUCUGAAUGGAAGGGCCAUCGCUCAACGGAUAAAAGGUACUCCGGGGAUAACAGGCUGAUACCGCCCAAGAGUUCAUAUCGACGGCGGUGUUUGGCACCUCGAUGUCGGCUCAUCACAUCCUGGGGCUGAAGUAGGUCCCAAGGGUAUGGCUGUUCGCCAUUUAAAGUGGUACGCGAGCUGGGUUUAGAACGUCGUGAGACAGUUCGGUCCCUAUCUGCCGUGGGCGCUGGAGAAUUGAGGGGGGCUGCUCCUAGUACGAGAGGACCGGAGUGGACGCAUCACUGGUGUUCGGGUUGUCAUGCCAAUGGCACUGCCCGGUAGCUAAAUGCGGAAGAGAUAAGUGCUGAAAGCAUCUAAGCACGAAACUUGCCCCGAGAUGAGUUCUCCCUGAGACUUUAAGUCUCCUGAAGGAACGUUGAAGACGACGACGUUGAUAGGCCGGGUGUGUAAGCGCAGCGAUGCGUUGAGCUAACCGGUACUAAUGAACCGUGAGGCUUAACCUUACAACGCCGAAG
rnacentral:rRNA from 1 species